AUCCUGAGAAAAGUAGCACACGUAGUGGGAGAACCACAAUUAGUGUGCGUGCCGUACGUGUGAUGAUGUUUUAAGGGGAGUGUAUACUUAUCGGACUGCAAGUUAUUGGAUUGGUUAUUAUUACUAGCUACGCCACGGAUGGUUACACAUUAUUCUAAAAUAGACAUGGGAUCAAAUGGUACCGUUUGCAUUUAUUAUAUGUUAAUGACCUUGAGAUAUAAGAAGGAUAAGAUAUGUCUCUAUAAACACAAUGUUUUUUGCAAUUUAUGGAAAAGUGUAUAAUAAGGCUGGAAAACAUCUACCAUUUAAUAAACAUUAAUUAGUUAAAGCAAUAAUGAUAUCUUUUAUAACUUCUCGUGUUUGUGUAGUUCGAAAGCUAAAAAUGUAAUAUAAAAAUUGUUAGUUCUAAAAUGAAUAUAAGUAAAUAGUACAAGUAGAUAAGUUCGAGUUAAUUAAAAGUGAUUAUAUG